GUGAAUUUUAUGGCCCCAGGGUCAAGGAUUCUGGUGUUGGGGGGGGGCUCUAUUGUUUAUAUAGCGAAAAUACAUGAAUUCUUUGAAAAUCUUCUACUCUGCUCCUAGGUAUUAAAUAAACCAACUAAGUGCAUAGUUAUGAUGAGCAAGAGUGCCUCAACCAAAAUUGUGAAUUUUAUGGCCCCAGGGUCAAGGGUUCUGGUGUUAGGGCGGGGCUCUAUAGAUUAUAUAUAGUAAAAAUACAUGAAUUCUUUGAAAAUCUUCUUCUCUGCUCCUAGGUAUUAGAUAAACUAACUAAGUGCAUAGUUAUGAUGAACAAGAGUGCUUUUACCAAAAUUGUGAAUUUUAUGGUCCCAGGGUCAGGGUUUCUGGUGUUAGGAUGGGGCUCUAUUGAUUAUAUAUUGAAAAUACAUGAAUUCUUUGAAAAUCUUCUUCUCUGCUCCUAGAAAUUAAAUAAACUAAGUACAUAGUUAUGAUGAGCAAGAAUGCCUCUUUUAAAAUUAUGAAUUUUAUGGCCCCAGGGUCAGGGGUUCUGGUGUUAGGGGGGCGGGGCUCAAUUGAUUAUAUUAUGAAAAUACAUUAAAUCUUUGAAAUUUUUUUUUUGUCUCUGGGUAUAAAGCAGAUGAACUACCUUUAUAGUUAUGAUGAGCAAGGACCCUAAUCUUGCAGAAUUGUGAAUUUCAAAGCCCCAGGGUCAGGGGUGGGGGUUUAUGUCACAGUGUUAGGGGCACUACUGGUUAGUUGGAAUGCAUUUUUGUUCCCCUACCCUGCAUAUGGGUAUUCAGUAACCAAGCUAAGCAACUGCUAAGUGUAUUGUUAUGAUGAUCAAUGGUGCCUCUUUCAAAAUUGUGAAUGUCAUAUAGCAUCUGGCUUAAAACAUGAAUCAAAGUCAAUAACUGGAAAAUUGUUGCAUAAUGCUCAGGUGACCUAUAAGGCCCGUGGGCCUCUUGUUUCCAGUUUGUAAUUAAUUUUUUUUAACCCAAAUUGCACAGAAUUUUAAGUAUUUACUGAAAAUUCAAGUGGCACUUUUUAGUUGACAGCUUUAUUCAGUUCAUCAAUGAUUGUGAAAACAUGUACUACAAUAUUGUAAACUUGUAAAUUUUUAUCAAACAAAGCAUUAAUUAAAGCAUUAGUGUAGAGUGUAGUUUUGCAGAAGUCGAAGAAUUUCCAUUUAUUUUAUUGUAGUAUGUUGUUUAUUUUGAAACUUUUGAGUGAUUAUCAAUUUUGGGAUACUUUAUUCAUCAAAAAGUUAGCGAAAUUAUUGCCUAUGCAAACAUUUCCACAUUUCCAAUGCUGUACCAGGUAUGUUCCAUUCAAAGUGUUCACAGUCUUCUAACAUAUGUUCAAGUUCAAAUUUCUUUUUCAGUACAUGUAUCAUUUUCUGUUCAUAUGUAGAAUGUAGAUGUUAAUAAUGUGCAAAAAGUAUCAGGUAAUAUGCAUAAUAAAGCAAAUUUCAUGUAUUUUGUACAGCUUUAAAUUCAAGGAUGUGUCAUUUUUGUUCAACAUUUGAAUAAUACAAAUAUUGUAUGAAGACAAAAGCAUUUCUUUAAUUUUGUAAAAUAAUGUUUUCACACAAAUAUUGCUCAAUGUUCAUGAAUUCAGUUUUAUUGAAUGAUUAUGUGCAAAUGUGGUAAAAAUAUUUUUCGCCUUGAUAGUUUAAAGCUGCGAAUAGCAAGUCAUUUUUAACAGAGACUAAAAAUGACAGUGAUACAUAAUUUUUUUUCUUCAAAUUUAAUAUUGUAUUUAAUUCUGUUCAUCUUUAAUAUAUGUAUUAAGUAUUGAAUGUUGGUUAGAUGCUCAUUUCAUUGCAACUGUUUGCUGUCUUCAAAUGAUAUUCCAGUUACUUUGCAUGGUGUAUCCUAGUCUUGUAAUCAGUGGUCUUCUGGGUGCAUUUAAGUUGGAAAUUCAAAGGAUUAAAAUGUUACAAUCACUAAUCAAACAA